UAACUCCGGUUUCUCUUCAAAUUGUAUAAAUCUUUCACCUUUUACUAAAGAUUUCCGUGAAGAGGAACAGUUACGAGUUUCAACCAAUG
rnacentral:snRNA from 1 species